CCCCCCUCAUGGUAGCACCUGGAGAGUUUCCAGGACUCUACCAGUCUCCACUAUGGGAGGGAGAGUCACGUAGAGGCUUACCCAUUCCAUUCCUAGCUUAGGCAGAGGCUAGUGAGUGGAAGGCAAUCUGCUACAAGU